UCUCCGUUUCACUUUUCUUCUCAUACGGUGCGCUUCAUCAUGACCCUCCACACGGCGUCGUUUCUUGUUCAAGCCUUUCAACUACUUCACUUCUUCGAACUCAACUCAGAUCACUUCCCUUCUUCUGCGUCCGCACUGCUUUGUUCUUCUAGUGUUUCCCUUGCCGCCGUUGGAUCUCUAUCACCAUCUCUCUCUCUCUCUCUGACUCUCACACUCAAACCCUAACUCAAAUUUUGAGCCGACAUCUCCGUUGUUCGUCACAGAGAAAAUCGCCGAAUCCACUCCGGGUUUGAGAAGUACCGUUCCGGGUUCACAAAAGUGGACGACAAUCGAUACUCAAUGAAAAUCUUUUUUGAGAUAAGGAAGCAAAAGUAUCUUGAGGCAUUGGAUAACCAUGGCAGAGGUUGGAGUGGCAUUGCUCUUUCCCUUCUUUGGAGCGUUAUUUGAUAAAAUGGUCAUCAACUGCUUUCUCAGCCCUUAUUAUGAGUACAAAUGUUUCAACAAUAUGCCAUGAUUCAUUGAGAUGAACGGUUUUGAGUUUUUUUUGGUCAUCUUUUCAGAUGUAGUUACUCUCUGCAA